rnacentral:lncRNA from 1 species
CCGACGGCGAGGACCGCCCUGUCAGGUCGGAGGGCCCAGACCUGUGGUGAGGACCCCUGAGGCCUCCUGGGAGAUCUGCUAACCACGCCCACGUCAUUUGCAUACGCACUCCCGACCCCAGAAACCCGGAUUCCGCCUCCCGACUGCGGCGUCUGGGCAGGGUUCGGGUGCGGCCCUCCGCCCGCGUCUCGGUGCCCCCGCCCCCUGGGCUGGAGGGCUGUGUGUGGUCCUUCCGUGGUCCCAAAAUAAAGAGCAAAUUCCAC